CUCAUCAGUUUCACCUCUCUGUAAUUCAGAGAUCUCUCUCACACCUGGCUCCCCUGGAUGAUUGCGAUUUCUUAAAAGAAGCCUAAACGGAUGGGUUUGGAAGUGCACUGGACUGAAGAGCAGCGGUGCCAGCAACUUUAUCUGGAGUCACACAACUGACAAGGGGCAGAAGAAGACUCAGAAGCAGAUCUGCCUGGCUCCUCCCAGUGUGCCCCUCUGUCCCUUGAAAGAGGCUCUGUGUCAUCUGCCAGGUGUCCUUGUCACCACAGAAUCAGAAAAGAAGAACAAUUAAAGAAAAGGAGAGCAGAGGCCAUGAGCUUGAAAAAGAU